rnacentral:tRNA from 1 species
GAGGGUAUAGCUCAGUAGUAGAGUGCAUGCUUAGCAUGCACAAGGUCCUGGGUUCAAUCCCCGGCACCGCCA